AGCAACUAUCCGAGUAACAAACCUGUCUGAAGAUGUAAGGGACUCUGACUAACAAGAGCUGUUCCGACCUUUUGGGACAAUUGCACGUAUUUAUCUUGCAAAAGAUAAAUCAACAGGGCAGUCUAAGGGUCUCCGCACACUGGGAAAGUAUUGGAUUUUGACGAAGUAAGAAGUAGUUUUCAGUGUUAAAGACAUUAGCUGCAGUUUAGGACCAUCCAAAGUGCUUACAGUACCUCUUCUUUGUUGUCGGAUCCCCAGUGUAUAUCUUUUUCGGCUUUGUUUCAUCUCCAUAUAUCAAAUACUCAAAACCAAUGAGAGCCCUGUUCUCAACAACAUUCCAAACUCUCUGUGAUCAGCUGUUUUUUUUUCUCAAAUGAAGAUAUUUUUUUCCUACAAAUAGAAUCUGCAAGUGGUGAAAUCCUAAGAAAAAGUUGAAUUUUUCCCCCGAUGCAAAUGCUAUACUGAUAUCCACCAUGGAGAUAUGUGAAGUCCCUUGUCUACACUAAUAAACCAGGAACAAUGCAGGACUUGAAAUUCGAAAUUUGGCGCAUAUUAUUGGCGAUAUUCUACUACGAAAAGUUGGAAGCUGGACGUUUAGUUUACAUCAUAAAAUAAUGUUUCAAGUAAAGAAAAAUUAAAGACAUUUUUUGUAACAUCUUUUAGUAUACAUCUACAGUAAAUUUAUUUAUCCUCCUUGAAGGAAUUUUUAAAAUAAAAGCAAAAAUUUAAA